GAAAGAACAGAAAGGGUUAUUUGUUUUUUUUAAGCGGUGGUUUAUAUUUCACCUUGCAAACGGAUUGAUUUCAGGGGUCACCAUCCCAUAGUUCUUCCAAGGACUUGAAAGGUCCAUUUUCUAAUACAAAUUGUUCUCCUGGAAACAUCCUACGCUGUGGAAUCUGGCUGAUUUUCUGUGAUUCAUCCUGGCCCAGUUCCCAAUCAAAUAUUUCAAGAGGAUAAGUAUCAGUGUUUUUGAGGAUGAGCUGCAUGAGGAGGAAGAAGGGAAGACUACUAGAGAAAAGCAAACAAAACUGGAGCCAAAUGGAGACUUGCCAAAAUGAAGAUCCACGCUCAUAGCGUGGAUUUCACGCUGAUGGCGUGAAGAACCAGAAACUCCCACGCUCAUAGCGUGGAGUUCACGCUGAUGGCGUGAAACCAUCCUUUGUAACACGCUCUUUCACGCUGAUGGCGUGAUGAUUCAGAGGCAACCACGCUCUUGGCGUGGAACUGAGAGCGCCAGUUUGCGGAAAUCACAGCCCGUGCUUUUCAAGAGGGAACUUUUGGAAGAUGAAAAAGAAGAUUAUAAAAAGGAGGCUCAGCACAGAAUUAGGUAUUCUGGACCUAAGGAGACCGUCGUGCGUCAGAAGGAGAGCUCCAGAGAGAAAUUCUUGUUGUUGUUCUUCUUCUUCUUUCUCUUUUACUUUAUGUUUUUAUGAAUAUUGGAUUUUUAGCCAUGAUUAUGUUUGGCUAGUUUACUUUUUAUUGUAGUUAGGGUCACAAACUCUAUGUGAACCCUUGUUACGACGGAUUGGUUUA